CAAUAGCGUAUAUUAAAGUUGUUGCGGUUAAAAAGCUCGUAGUUGGAUUUCUGCUGAGAACGACCGGUCCGCCCUCUGGGUGUGUAUCUGGCUCUUUCUUGGCAUCUUCUUGGUGAACGUUGCUGCACUUGACUGUGUGGAGCGCUACCCAGGACUUUUACUUUGAGGAAAUUAGAGUGUUUCAAGCAGGCAUACGCCUUGAAUACAUUAGCAUGGAAUAAUAAGAUAGGACCUCGGUUCUAUUUUGUUGGUUUCUAGAGCUGAGGUAAUGAUUAAUAGGGAUAGUUGGGGGCAUUCGUAUUUAACUGUCAGAGGUGAAAUUCUUGGAUUUGUUAAAGACGAACUUCUGCGAAAGCAUUUGCCAAGGAUGUUUUCAUUAA
rnacentral:rRNA from 1 species